AUGUCACCUGUUAGAUAGGACUAGUAUACUUGGGGAUCACCCGCUAGUACAGAACUGAUCUCAGUGUUCACAUGCUAGAUCAGGACAAACUCCAUAGCAGUUGUCUUUACCCGUGGCAAGGUAUUGACACCCUUCUAGCUGGGGUUAUAGGUUGAACCCCACUAGUUCAAAUUUUGGGUAUGUCAGUUAGAUAACUUCCUCCCACAGUCUCAGCUUUAGAAUCAGUCUAAGUAAAAGAACUCAGCUCAGUAACACAGAUUCAGGACUGUUAGUUACAUUCACUCAUUAGUAUUAUCAAAGGACUUAGAGAUCACCCCCUUGAU
rnacentral:lncRNA from 1 species